rnacentral:rRNA from 1 species
AUAUCAAUAAGCGGAGGAAAAGAAACCAACAGGGAUUGCCCCAGUAACGGCGAGUGAAGCGGCAAAAGCUCAAAUUUGAAAUCCUCAGGGAAUUGUAAUUUGAAGAUGUUUGGGUCAAGGCUAGCAGAGGUUAAGUCCACUGGAACGUGGCGCCACAGAGGGUGACAGCCCCGUGAACCUCCUAAAGCCCCUUAUCCCUCUCAUCCAAGAGUCGAGUUGUUUGGGAAUGCAGCUCUAAGUGGGUGGUAAAUUCCAUCUAAAGCUAAAUACCGGCGAGAGACCGAUAGCGAACAAGUACAGUGAUGGAAAGAUGAAAAGCACUUUGAAAAGAGAGUGAAAAAGUACGUGAAAUUGUUGAAAGGGAAGGGCUUGCAAGCAGACACUUAAUUGGGCCAGCAUCGGGGCGGCAGGGAGAAAACCUCCCGGGAAAUGUACCUCUCGAGUGUUAUAGUCCCGGGCAUCCUCUCCCAUUCUGCCCCGAGGCCUGCGUAUCUAGGAUGCUGGCGUAAUGGUUGCAAGUCGCCCGUCUUGAAACACGG